GGCUUGUGCUUGUACAGUGAUAAUCAUAAUUGCUGCUCUUUAGCUUUUCGCUUUUGUUCUUUUCUUUAAAUGAAUGUUGUUGUGCAAGCUAGGUUUUGAAGUUGGUGGUUUGGAUUAGGUUUUGUAUUUCUGCUUUUGUUUUUGAAUGAAACAAGUUCUCUUUAAUUUUUGCACAAUGAGUAUGGUAGCUAUGGCAUUAAAGAUUGAAAUUGCAUAAUUUUUUCAUAAUAGGUAUGGCAUUAAAGAUUGAAAUCAGAUUAGGUUUUGGCCUUUUGGAUUGGAAAUUACUUGUCUUUUAUAAGUUUAUAGAUAGAGGAUGAGAGGAGCAGAAAUGGAAGCAAUGAAUGGAGAUGUGAAA
rnacentral:misc_RNA from 1 species